UUGCCCACUUGAGAUUGACGGUGUCUUUAGUGGCCAUUAUUGGGGGGCAGAUCACUAUCCUCUCUGUAAACCUGGGUCAGGGGUCUCACCCCCUGACUCUGGACCUGUUGGGAGUAACACUG
rnacentral:snoRNA from 1 species